rnacentral:rRNA from 1 species
UACGAAGGGGGCUAGCGUUGCUCGGAAUUACUGGGCGUAAAGGGCGCGUAGGCGGAUAUUUAAGUCGGGGGGUGAAAGCCCAGGGCUCAACCCUGGAACAGCCUUCGAUACUGGAUAUCUUGAGUACGGGAGAGGUGUGUGGAACUCCGAGUGUAGAGGUGAAAUUCGUAGAUAUUCGGAAGAACACCAGUGGCGAAGGCGACACACUGGCCCGUUACUCGACGCUGAGGCGCGGAAAGCGUGGGGAGCAAACAGGG